UGGGGAAUUUUGGACAAUGGGCGAAAGCCUGAUCCAGCAAUGCCGCGUGUGUGAAGAAGGCCUUCGGGUUGUAAAGCACUUUUGUCCGGAAAGAAAUCCUUGGCUCUAAUACAGUCGGGGGAUGACGGUACCGGAAGAAUAAGCACCGGCUAACUACGUGCCAGCAGCCGCGGUAAUACGUAGGGUGCAAGCGUUAAUCGGAAUUACUGGGCGUAAAGCGUGCGCAGGCGGUUUGCUAAGACCGAUGUGAAAUCCCCGGGCUCAACCUGGGAACUGCAUUGGUGACUGGCAGGCUAGAGUAUGGCAGAGGGGGGUAGAAUUCCACGUGUAGCAGUGAAAUGCGUAGAGAUGUGGAGGAAUACCGAUGGCGAAGGCAGCCCCCUGGGCCAAUACUGACGCUCAUGCACGAAAAGCGUGGGGAGCAAACAGGAUUAGAUACCCUGGUAGUCCACGCCCUAAACGAUGUCAACUAGUUGUUGGGGAUUCAUUUCCUUAGUAACGUAGCUAACGCGUGAAGUUGACCGCCUGGGGAGUACGGUCGCAAGAUU
rnacentral:rRNA from 1 species